AUGGAAGGAGUCAUUUGGUUUACUUGGGUUUACUGUCGCCACUCGCGACUUCCCAGUUGUAAGAACACCAGAGGAAGCCUUUACUUUUACUCCAUCACCAUCAUUUUUUUUUUAAACAAAACAAAAAAUCAUUCUAAGGCAAUAAUUUUUGUAAUUUAA